GUUCUGGUUCUACGUAUGAGCUCACCAUAGAGACUGGAGUUACCAACAAUAGAAAGGAUCGUGUCCAUGACAACCAGAAAAACUCAAAGCAGUGGCUGAUUUUAACCAUCUGGUUCUAAUCUUGUUCUGUAUAUUUCUCUUUUCCUCAUGGGUUUUGCUUACUGCUUCAUUAAAGUGCUGUCACACUGCUACACAGAGAGGCAGACAAGAAAGUGUCCAUGCUGUCUGUAGGGAGAGGUGGCAUAAGUAUCUGUAUAUAGCAGCAGAUGUGAUAUGCACAGUUGAGAGCAGAGGUGACAAUUUCCCACUAAAGAUAUCAGAAAAGCUUCCUGGAUUCUUCAUUUGCACUCGACCUUCAGGAUGCAUCUACCUCCCACCAAGAGAUCCUCCCCCUGGCAACCACCAUUCUCCUCUCUUCCUUGACCCAACGUUUUGAGAUUCCACAUAUGAGUGAGUUCAUAUGGUAUUUAUCUUUGGAUGUCUGACUUACUUCACUUAACAUAGUGUCAUACAUGUCUGUCUAUGUUGUCACAGGUGGAAGGACUUCAUGCUUCUUGUGGCUGGAUGACGUUCUGUUGUGUACAUGUCCACAUGUUCUGCAUGCAUCCAACCAUUGACAGGCACUGGGGUUGAUUUUGUAUUUUGGCUACUGUGGAUAAUGCUGCAAUAGACAUGGGAGUGCAGGUGCUUCUUCAACAUGUGUGUUUCAUUUUGAAUAUAUACCAGCAAUGGGUUUGCUGGAUUAUGUGGUAGCUCUAUUUUUAAAUUUUUUUGAGGAUUGCCAGGAGUGGUAGCACAUGCCUAUACUCCCAGCACUCGGGAUGCUGAGGCAGGAGGGUCACCACAAGUUCGAGGCCAGCUUGGGCUACACAGUGAACUCAAGGUCAGCCUGAACUGCACAGCAAGACCCUGUCUGAAAAAAAUUUUUUUUAGGGCUGAGAAUUUAGCUCAGCGGCACAGUGCCUGUCUGACAAGCACGAGGUCCUGAGUUUGAUCCCUGGUACCAUACCAUUUUCUAUAAUGGUUUGACUGAUUUCUUUCCUAUCUACAAAUUAUGAGUUCUCCUUUCUCCACAUCUUCAUCAACAUUUUUUUCUUUAUCUAUUGAUAAUAAUCAUUCUAAAUAGGGUAAGAUGAUAUCUCAUUGUGGUUUUGAUUUGCAUUUCCCUGAUUAUUAAUAACAUUGAGCAUUUCUUUUCAAAUACCUAUUGGCUACUAUGUGUGUUCUCUUCAAUAACUAUUCAGGUCUCUUUUUAAGUUCAAUUAUUUUGGUUUUGCUUUGACAUUUGAGUUCCUUAUGUGUUCUGGAUAUUAGCUUUUGUCAGAUGUAUAGUUUGCUAAUAUUUUCUCUCAUUCUGUAGAAAGUCUCUUCACUCUGUUGAUUGUUUCCUUUGCUGUGCAGAAGCUGCUCAGUUGGAUGUGAUCCUGAAAAUUUUCAAAGACCAAGCAACCAAGAAAUGCCAGUUCUUUUGGCUCCAGGAGUGAAUUCCUUCUUUUCUCACACUAAUUAGACUCAGGCUACAAAAAUCUCUAUUCUGAAAUUGCUGAUGACAGCACAGGAGAAAUCUGCUACUCAGGCUCUCUCAGGAAUUUCAAAACAUGUUUCCAAGUUAAAUAUCACUGAAUAUAAUCCAGCCACCAUUAAAAUAUUAACAGUAUUAGUUCACUGGAUCAAUAUUUAGAAAUUUCUGAUCAUUCACAUGCUAAUAAAUAGAAGGAUAAAUAAAAUAAUAUUUGGUAAAAUCAAUAUCCAUUCUUAGGUUUAUUUAAUCUUUAGUAAAAUGGUGAAGAUUGAUAUUUUCCCCAAUAUGGCCCACAGCACCUUGAUUAAUGGUGCUGCCCUAGAAGCAGCCCCAUUAGAGGCAAGAACAAGAAAGGGUGACCAUUAGCACUUGAUUCAUCUGGCUCUGGAAGCCUCACUCAAUCCAGUUAGGGUUAGAACAUAGCAAACACAGUACACAAAUGAAGAGGCCUCAUUAUCAUCAUUUGUGAGGCUGUGAUUGUAUCCCUGAUUUGAAAGAAUCAACUAGAAACAUUUUUAGAAGCAAAGUAAGAGAUGGGAAAGGGAUCUAGAAAUGGAGGGAGAGGACGAGGGAAGGGGAAAGGGUAAGUAAAAACAGGAUUAAGAUGAAAUAUGUACAGGUACCAAACCCCCACAAUGAAUGCAUUCAUUGUGUAUCACAAACAUAUACUAAGAAAAAACUUUUUUAAAAAGAUAACAAUUUAUGAAAUUAACAUAAAACUUAAGAAGAAAUUAACAUGAAAAUAAGGCUUUUUUAUAAUCAAAGAGAAAC
rnacentral:lncRNA from 1 species